CAAUUUGAUGAUGGAAUAUUUCUAAAUUCCAUCAGCUAUUCCUCUUCUUCCCUCCUUCACUUUGACCCAGAAUUAGGUAGUGGUGGCUUAGCUUAUUCUGGGCUUCUCUUUUUAAAAGGAGAAGCUGCAUCAAACAAAUUUUUAAAAAGGAGCUUUUAGAAAUGUAGCUUUUUUUUUAAAUGAAGAAAACUGAAAAAACAGGAUUCUUCAAUGAAGCUAGUUUUAAGAGCUUUUGGCUUCUACUUCUCCUUCCAAAUCCCAAGAUCCAAAGACACUCUCAAGAAAUUUUAACUAAAAUUGUGGAAUUACUAAAUGGAUUUAACUUUAAUUUCAAAAUUUAUCUUUAAAGUAGCUUUAAAGUUAAAAAAACUCAAGCUAAAUGCUCUCUUAAUCUAUUUUAGAAUUACAGGGCUUGACUAAGCAAAAAGGAAGAUACAGAAAAGGAAUGCUCAAUACAAGCUUAUAUUGAUAUGUUGUGUGAUAAUAUCAUACAUGAUACUUCCACAAAGAUCCUAUCUCUGCUAAUAAUCUGGUCAAAUGCCUAAUGUAGCAUUACUAAUACAUGUUGAAGCCCACUAAUAUAAUAAAAAUUGUAGCUCUAUUUUGGGUUGAGGCUAAUGAGUUCACCUAUUGCCUUAGCUGAAGUCCUCUCUGUCAACGCAUCUAAAAAAAUUUUGUUCCAUUUUAUCUUAAUUAAUUAUUACUUUUAUCUUUUUCACAUCCUAGUUAAUCUUAAUUUUUCUUAUACACCAAAACACUUUUCUCUGAAAAAAUGAAUCCAAAUACAAUACAAAAGCUCAUAGCUUAUAUACAAAAUGUCUUAAUAUAAUUAAAUUACCUAAGUUUAGAAAUACAAGGUCAUCAAAUAAUUCUAGCUAUGUCAUGUUCCUGUAUAGAGAAAGUACUGAGUAACUUAUUAAAACAUAAAUGUGUGACUAGCAAGCUAACUAGAAAAGAAAAAGAUGAAAGGAAAUUUAAAUCAUAUGAACGAAAAGUAAAUAUAAAUAGCUCAUUGUGGAGUAUAAGUAUUGAUAGACAAAUAUUAAUAUGUGAGUGUGUGUGCAUAUAUAUACAUAUAUAUUUAUAUUACUAAAAUUCACUUGAAUAAUAUAUUAAUUAGGAGAAUGUAAUUUAGAAAAUUAUAAUUAAUAAUUGAGUUGUUAGUGGGGUGGGGAGUGAGAAUAUGCAAUUCGGAGUGUCAAUAGUAUAACUACUGAUAAAAUAAGAAAACUAUUAACAAAUCUAACAACUCAAGAAACAACUUUUAAGAUUGCUUCCUCGAUGAGAUGACUCACUGAUUCCACAGAAAAUUUCAAAGAUAUUGUUUGUAUAGUCUAACACUCCCUCAAGAUAUAGUUUACCAAGCUUUAAGCUUAUUAAAAAUGAAAAUUUCAAAAAGAAAAUGACAUAAAUAUAAAGUGGGCUCCAAAAAACUUUGUUGAAAAGGUAACUCAUGCUCGAGACAUAAGCAUCGCUGGAAAGAUAACUCUGUAGAAUAACUAUGGUUCAUCAGUUGCAUAGGAAAAUCACCAUCUGUGUGAUCCACAUCCCACAAUAAUAAGAAAAGUCACCAGAGUGUCGGUAAGUAGAAAAGCCACCACUGGAAAGAUUGUUGGUAGGAAGAGAUGUCGCCAAAUCUGAGGUAUUGAGAGGAAAGAGAAUGCCAGAAUUGAGACAUGACAAAACUUUGCUCCCAGCUACGGCUGUAGUUAGGGUUUGUCAAACAGGGCAAAGACACUUUGGGAAAAUAAAAUUGGUUGCCAGAAAGAGGUGAAACAAUAGUGGGUGGAAGGAUAAACAUGACUAAGAGAAUCAUACUUUGUAGGAAUAAAGACAUUUGGAGUUUCAGAUGUUAGGAAACUCAGCAGGCAACUAGUGUCAUAACCAUAUCAUGCUGGAUGGUACUACUUAGAUAUCAUGUUAAAAUUAUAGGGCUUUUAUAGUUAAUAAGGAGAGAAAAAAGGUUAAAGAGAUAUUAGAGCCUCUGAAUAAUAAUAUAACAUGAUAGCUAGAUGGAUAUUUUGUAGAUAAUCUAAAAAUAUUUUAAAUAUAUUCUUACAAUCUACAUGUUUCUAUUGUAGGUUGGCUAUGUGACAACCAUAUGUUUUUUAUGUUUUCUUGUCAGAUGCAUUAUGGUGAGCCCCUUUUUAUUUUUAAUUCUUAGUGAUUCCUGUUUGCUUGAUUUCAAAAUUGAGUUUGAUUGUAUGUUGUUGUAUCAGAUGUGUUUUAAUGCAUUUGAUAAAAAUGCGGACCUUGAUGUCUUGGAUCAUCCUAUUCUAAACUUCAUAUAUUACCUGGUAAGGUGUUUGUGUUCCUUACUUCCUUUAUUUUGGUACUUAUACUACCAUACUACUUACUGUUUCUUUUUAAUUAUUGGUAAGGCAGAAGACCUCCAUUUGCAUAUAGGAGGGAAAUUAGGGAAAUCUAGGUGGGAAAUUGGGUAAAUGGUGUGUGGGGUGAUUGAAACGCCAACUUUGAAUACCAAAGCCCCCCUUGACUAACAGAGAUGCCACUAGGCUCUGAGGCCAUUGGCUCCUCACUGUUUCUAAUUAUUAUGCCAAUGCUAUACUAGUAAUCAUUUCUAUAUUUGGGUCUGUUUUAUACUCGUCUGGUUACUUUUUCUUUAAGCUGAGUGAGGUGAGGAAAGCUCUGACAUAUCCUCUGCCUAUAUAUUUUUUUUUCUAACCUGAACUGUUAGAACCUUUUUUUACUUAAAUUCAACUUUUCUUUCUGGUGUUUGACAUUACUGUUAACCUUUAGUUCCGAUAAGAUUUUUUUUACCUGCAACCUAAAUGGCAAUUGAGCUACAUCGGAUAACAAAUCAUCCGUUUCAAAAUCCACCAAUUCAUAGUGAGGAUAUCUCUUGAACAAAUUUUCAACCACAGAAAUGUUGUUUCUCAAAAUAUGGAAAUUGAUACCCUGAUAUUGAUAUUCUGAUUUCCAUUUGGAAGGGUAUUGGAUUGCUAUUGUGAGGUAUCAAUAAUUGUCUUUAUUUUACCAUGCUUUUUGAAAUGCUUUACUCUAUAAUACUUUAAAGAGGAAUAACACUUGUACAACAAAUUAUUCAAGUUGUACAACCAAGAGAUAGAAAGAGAGAAAAGAGAGAAGUCUGAAAUGUAAUAAAUAAUGGGGAGGCGAGAGAUAGACACUAAGAAAGGAUGUCGUAUAAAUUGUUCUAUGAACUUCCAUCUCAACUUUAAAAUGAUAAAACCUCCAUCUCAAGGAUAAGCACUUAAGAAAGGUGUUUGUAUGUCUUCUACUUUGUAGAAAGUGUCUCUCCCACUAAUCCUCUUACUGGUUUUCCCAUUCUUGCUGCAGGUGGUGGAAAUAUUGCCUUCUUCUUUGGUCCUUUUCAUUUUGAGGAAGCUUCCACCUAAGCGUGGUAUCACACAAUAUCACCCAAUUCGCUGAAAAGGGGAUUUCUCAAUCGUUCUCUAUUUUCUUGAAUGAUUAUCAUUCUCCAUGGGUAAUUUUCUAGAGUAGACACAAGUCAGUCUUCUAUGUUCGGUGGCAAAGCUUGUAUGCUUUGUCUCUUGGACAGUAUGGUAAGUUUUGUGACCCAGCAUUUCUGACACGAUGAUAAUUGGUAAAAGGGGAUAUAGUGAUAUCUUGUAUAAAUAGUGUUUUGAACUGCUACGAGUGCAAAAAAUGUAUUGUCCCUAAUUUCUCACUCGUAUUAACUUACUACAUUAAUUUCUGCUCUAUAUCCCUAAUUUCAAUCGUUUAGUGGAGCUUUAGUUUUUGUUUUUGCAGAUUUGAUUCUUAAGUUGUUUGAUCUUUAAAUUCAUUGGGAAUCGGAGUCUUACUAGAUGAAAUGUUUCCCCUUGAAAGUACCAUGUCUGAAUACUAAGUACUGUCAUGAUUACUAAGAUACAACCAAAAGAAAGUUAAAGGAAAAAAGAAAAACAAGCAUUUUCAGUACGUGUUUUCUAUAUAAUGACAUUUUGAAGAACAAAUAAUGCAUACCUGGGUCUGAUUUGCUUAGAUUUGAUGAAGUGAUUAAUUGAAACCCUGAUGCUCUGCUUGGUUGUGGGAUCCUAAGAGAUAAU
rnacentral:lncRNA from 1 species